rnacentral:lncRNA from 1 species
AUGACACACAUAUGCUGGAACAUCAUACUGUUUUUACUAAAGAACCAAACAAUUGGAAUCAAACAUCUCAGAGAUAGAUGAAUAGUACACAGUUUAGAGUUGCAACAGCUUUGGGAUACAGAUGCUAUUGCCUCAAUAGAUUGUUCACAGAUUAGUUUAGCAUCAGACCUUGUCAUUAACCCUCACAUAAGUGAACAAUACUACUUGGGACCUUUUGAAAACAUCAGUACAGAUCCAGAUAAUGACAUAGGCAGGUUAUUGUGCUCAUUCAGUAACAAUAAUAGGUUUCUCCAAACCCAGAUUCAAUUUAGAUUAACAUGGAAAGAGAGAACUGAGCAUUGUUUCAAAAUAGUGUUCAAAAGUAUUCAAUUCAGAUUAACAUGGAAAGAGAGAAUUGAGCAUUGUUUCAAAAUAAUGUUCAAAAGUAUGAAGUCAUGAGGGAUAAGCAAAGAUAUAUC